AUCUUUAAAAAAAAAAAAAAAAACUUCCUGUUUGGUGUAGAUUUUCCAGUUUAUUGUUAUAGAGUUGUUCGUUAUUUUCUUAUGUUCCAAAAUCUCUCUUGUGUCUUUAGUAAUCAUUCCAUUUCAAUGUUAAUAUUUUUUUAUUGAUACUUUGUUUGCCCCUUGAACAAUCUUGUUAGAGGUUUGUGUAUGUGUGUUUUAAUUUAUGUUUUAGUUGUUUUAGACAACCAUAUUUUGGUUUUAGUGCCCUCUUUACUGUUUUGUUUUUGCCUUUUUUUUUCUUUCUGUGUCACUGAAUUCUGCUUUUAUAUUUCCUUUUAUCUACUUUGCUUAGAUUUUCUGAUCUUUUUCCAUCUUCUUGCAGUGAAUUUAUUUUCAGCUUGUUCGGGUGUGGGGUUUUUUGUUAACUUGAUAGUUUAAACAGAGAAAAGUUACAAGAGGAGUACAGAGAAUUUUUCCAUAUUCUUUAUCCAAAGGGUGUCUCUUGUAAGCAGUGUAUAGCUGGGCUUUGUUUUCUUUAAUCCAGUUUGAUAGAAUCUUUUAUAGAUGAAUAAUCUGAAGUUGUCUCAGAUCACUCAGGAUGAGGCUGCCUACCUACCCAGUUUAAUAUACUGCCUCUUGGGGCCAGACAUGAAAGUACCCUUUCCUCCUCCCCUGGUUUGCAAGUAGCUGUUAUCCUUUUUAAUGUUUUCCAGUCUAAUGGCUAUAAAAAGAUAUUUCUAAUUGCUUUAGUUUGCAUGUCCUUGACUACUGUUCAGUUUGAGCAUCUUUUAAUAUGUUUGUUGGCCAUGUGUAACUGCUCUUUUAGUCACCCAUACAUAUCCUUUGAUCAUUUUUCUCGUUGGUUGUCUAUUAACCCAUACUCAUAUCCUUUUAUGUUGUUUGGUCAACUUAUGGAAAUUCUUGGAGUAUAAUAGAUUUAAAUUUUUUUAAUCUAUAAUCAGUUUGCUUUGGAAAUUAUUUUUUUCAAAAUCUAAUACUUUGAUUUUGCUUAUGUAUCUCAUUGACAUUAUCAGUGGUUAUUUUUUUCUAAGAUUUGUCUUUUUUUUUCUGCUUUGGUUUUCUUUAUUUUUUUGCAUCUUGCAUUUGUCUUUAAUCCAUACAGAAUUAGUUUUUAGCAUAAACUAUGAGCUAAGGACCCAAUUUUAUUUUCUCCCAGUUUUUUAGCUAAUUUUGUCAUCACUGAUUAUUAAAUCAUUUCUCCUAUUGAAGAUGUUAUUUGGUAUUUCAAUUCAUAAUAAGUUUAAGAUUUAUUUUUACUGGGUCUAUUUUUGGAUUUCCUAUUCCACUCAUUUUUUACUCCUAUCAGUACCGACUUGACAUAUCAAGUAAUAGCUUUAUAGAAUGUCCUAAUAUAAUAAUGUAAGUCCCAUCUGUAUUUUUUCUUAGUUUUAUUCUUUAUUCACCCAUAUUAUUCAUCCUUAUUAUAUUCAAAUUAAACUUUAUGGGUGGGGUUUUGGUCAAAUGGGUGAAUAGGAGUGGGAGAUACAGGCUCCCAGUUAUGGAAUGAAUAGGUCAUGGGAAUAAAA